UCCGAGUUGAUCCCGGCAGUCUCCCAUGAGUCCCCACCAUUACGUGCUGGCAACAUAGGAUAAGGGUUGCGCUCGUUGCGGGACUUAACCCAACAUCUCACGACACGAGCUGACGACAGCCAUGCACCACCUGUGACCGUGCCCCGAAGGGAGGGUGUGUUUCCACACCUGUCACGGACAUGUCAAGUCCAGGUAAGGUUCUUCGCGUUGCGUCGAAUUAAACCACAUGCUCCGCUGCUUGUGCGGGCCCCCGUCAAUUCCUUUGAGUUUCAGCCUUGCGGCCGUACUCCCCAGGCGGGGCACUUAACGCGUAAGCUGCGACACGGAGAGGGCCGAUCCCCCCCGCAUCCAGUGCCCAUCGUUUACGGCGUGGACUAC
rnacentral:misc_RNA from 1 species